AAAAACAUGUCUUUUUGGUAAUAAUUUAAAGUCUAAUCUGCCCACUGAUUUAAAUUAAAGGGCUGCAGUAUAUUGACUGUACAAAGGUAGCAUAAUCAUUAGUUUUUUAAUUGAAAACUUGUAUGAAGGAUUUGAUGAAAUAUAAACUGUCUCUUAUUUAAAAUUAAAAAUUUAUUUUUUAGUUAAAAAGCUAAAAUAAUUUUAAAAGACGAGAAGACCCUAUAGAGUUUUAUAUUAAAUUAUUUUAUAAUUAUUUAUAUAAUUAAAAAUUAAAAAUGAAUUUAAUAUUUUAUUGGGGUGAUAGAAAAAUUAAAAAAACUUUUUUUAAAUUAUUAACAUAGAUAUAUGAAUAAAUGAUCCAUAAUUAAUGAUUAUAAGAAAAAAUUACCUUAGGGAUAACAGCGUAAUAUUUUUUUUUAGUUCAUAUAAAAAAAAAAGUUUGCGACCUCGAUGUUGGAUUAAGAUAAAAUUUAAAUGCAAAAGUUUAAAAGUUUUGAUCUGUUCGAUCAUUAAAAUCUUACAUGAUCUGAG
rnacentral:rRNA from 1 species